rnacentral:lncRNA from 1 species
CCAGUCAGUAUCUCUUUUGUCGUAUUAGUUAAUUAUCAAUCUGAUUAUUGAAUAUUGAUGACUUACAAGAAUUUCACUAUGUUAUAAUUGUCAGGGUGACUGGAAUGGUGCUGGUGCUCACACAAAUUACAGGUUUGUAAUUCUCCAAAUGCCAUUGCACAUCCUUAUUGAACUUCAGAGAGAAAUCUCUAAUGAUCUGAAUUGAAUGUGAUGUUCUGUAUGUAACAGCACCAAGUCAAUGAGAGAAGAUGGCGGAUAUGAGGUGAUAAAGAAAGCAAUUGAGAAAAUGGGUUUGCGACACAAGGAACACAUUGCUGCAUACGGAGAGGGUAAUGAAAGAAGACUCACCGGACGUCAUGAAACAGCAGACAUCAACACAUUCUCUUGGGUAAGUCUGAAUGAAUGAAUGAAUGAAUGAAUGAAUGAAUGAAUGAAUGACCAACUUUCUGCUAUUGUUGUUUCUAAACAAGCAUUAUUUUCAUUGCAGGGAGUUGCUAACCGUGGUGCUUCAAUCCGUGUUGGUCGUGAUACUGAAAAGGACAGAAAAGGUAACAAACGGCCCCUCUCCUAAACAUAGGCAGGCAGAUGUAUCGAAUUAACAUGUAAUCAAUCAUUGUGUUUUGUUCUGCAGGAUACUUUGAGGACAGGAGGCCAUCGUCCAACAUGGACCCUUACGUAGUCACAUCCAUGGUCGCAGAGACCACUCUUCUCUUGCCUUGAAAGAAACCUUGCAACAGUGGAGCAAUCUUCACUCUACUCCACUUUAAUAAAUGUGAUGUAUUCAGAAUUUCAGACUGCUACUCUAUUUGCGAAUAUUGCAAUCAUACUCACUGAUUUAUUGCUUGCUAUUGC